GGCUGGGUAGCAAAAUGGUUAUGCAGGGGACUGCAAAUCCCCGGACGCCGGUUCGAUUCCGGCCCCAGCCU
rnacentral:tRNA from 1 species